rnacentral:rRNA from 1 species
GAUGAACGCUGGCGGCGUGCCUAAUACAUGCAAGUCGAGCGAGUGGAUUAAGAGCUUGCUCUUAUGAAGUUAGCGGCGGACGGGUGAGUAACACGUGGGUAACCUGCCCAUAAGACUGGGAUAACUCCGGGAAACCGGGGCUAAUACCGGAUAACAUUUUGAACCGCAUGGUUCGAAAUUGAAAGGCGGCUUCGGCUGUCACUUAUGGAUGGACCCGCGUCGCAUUAGCUAGUUGGUGAGGUAACGGCUCACCAAGGCAACGAUGCGUAGCCGACCUGAGAGGGUGAUCGGACACGCUGGGACUGAGCCACGGCCCAGACUCCUACGGGAGGCAGCAGUUGGGAAUCGUCCGCAAUGGACGAAAGUCUGACGGAGCAACGCCGCGUGAGUGAUGAAGGCUUUCGGGUCGUAAAACUCUGUUGUUAGGGAAGAACAAGUGCUAGUUGAAUAAGCUGGCACCUUGACGGUACCUAACCAGAAAGCCACGGCUAACUACGUGCCAGCCGCCGCGGUAA